rnacentral:rRNA from 1 species
GGGUUGUGAGGUUAAGCGACUAAGCGUACACGGUGGAUGCCCUGGCAGUCAGAGGCGAUGAAGGACGUGCUAAUCUGCGAUAAGCGUCGGUAAGGUGAUAUGAACCGUUAUAACCGGCGAUUUCCGAAUGGGGAAACCCAGUGUGAUUCGUCACACUAUCAUUAACUGAAUCCAUAGGUUAAUGAGGCGAACCGGGGGAACUGAAACAUCUAAGUACCCCGAGGAAAAGAAAUCAACCGAGAUUCCCCCAGUAGCGGCGAGCGAACGGGGAGCAGCCCAGAGCCUGAAUCAGUGUGUGUGUUAGUGGAAGCGUCUGGAAAGGCGCGCGAUACAGGGUGACAGCCCCGUACACAAAAAUGCACAUGCUGUGAGCUCGAUGAGUAGGGCGGGACACGUGGUAUCCUGUCUGAAUAUGGGGGGACCAUCCUCCAAGGCUAAAUACUCCUGACUGACCGAUAGUGAACCAGUACCGUGAGGGAAAGGCGAAAAGAACCCCGGCGAGGGGAGUGAAAAAGAACCUGAAACCGUGUACGUACAAGCAGUGGGAGCCUCUUUUAUGGGGUGACUGCGUACCUUUUGUAUAAUGGGUCAGCGACUUAUAUUCUGUAGCAAGGUUAACCGAAUAGGGGAGCCGAAGGGAAACCGAGUCUUAACUGGGCGUUAAGUUGCAGGGUAUAGACCCGAAACCCGGUGAUCUAGCCAUGGGCAGGUUGAAGGUUGGGUAACACUAACUGGAGGACCGAACCGACUAAUGUUGAAAAAUUAGCGGAUGACUUGUGGCUGGGGGUGAAAGGCCAAUCAAACCGGGAGAUAGCUGGUUCUCCCCGAAAGCUAUUUAGGUAGCGCCUCGUGAAUUCAUCUCCGGGGGUAGAGCACUGUUUCGGCAAGGGGGUCAUCCCGACUUACCAACCCGAUGCAAACUGCGAAUACCGGAGAAUGUUAUCACGGGAGACACACGGCGGGUGCUAACGUCCGUCGUGAAGAGGGAAACAACCCAGACCGCCAGCUAAGGUCCCAAAGUCAUGGUUAAGUGGGAAACGAUGUGGGAAGGCCCAGACAGCCAGGAUGUUGGCUUAGAAGCAGCCAUCAUUUAAAGAAAGCGUAAUAGCUCACUGGUCGAGUCGGCCUGCGCGGAAGAUGUAACGGGGCUAAACCAUGCACCGAAGCUGCGGCAGCGACGCUUAUGCGUUGUUGGGUAGGGGAGCGUUCUGUAAGCCUGUGAAGGUGUGCUGUGAGGCAUGCUGGAGGUAUCAGAAGUGCGAAUGCUGACAUAAGUAACGAUAAAGCGGGUGAAAAGCCCGCUCGCCGGAAGACCAAGGGUUCCUGUCCAACGUUAAUCGGGGCAGGGUGAGUCGACCCCUAAGGCGAGGCCGAAAGGCGUAGUCGAUGGGAAACAGGUUAAUAUUCCUGUACUUGGUGUUACUGCGAAGGGGGGACGGAGAAGGCUAUGUUGGCCGGGCGACGGUUGUCCCGGUUUAAGCGUGUAGGCUGGUUUUCCAGGCAAAUCCGGAAAAUCAAGGCUGAGGCGUGAUGACGAGGCACUACGGUGCUGAAGCAACAAAUGCCCUGCUUCCAGGAAAAGCCUCUAAGCAUCAGGUAACAUCAAAUCGUACCCCAAACCGACACAGGUGGUCAGGUAGAGAAUACCAAGGCGCUUGAGAGAACUCGGGUGAAGGAACUAGGCAAAAUGGUGCCGUAACUUCGGGAGAAGGCACGCUGAUAUGUAGGUGAAGUCCCUUGCGGAUGGAGCUGAAAUCAGUCGAAGAUACCAGCUGGCUGCAACUGUUUAUUAAAAACACAGCACUGUGCAAACACGAAAGUGGACGUAUACGGUGUGACGCCUGCCCGGUGCCGGAAGGUUAAUUGAUGGGGUCAGCGCAAGCGAAGCUCUUGAUCGAAGCCCCGGUAAACGGCGGCCGUAACUAUAACGGUCCUAAGGUAGCGAAAUUCCUUGUCGGGUAAGUUCCGACCUGCACGAAUGGCGUAAUGAUGGCCAGGCUGUCUCCACCCGAGACUCAGUGAAAUUGAACUCGCUGUGAAGAUGCAGUGUACCCGCGGCAAGACGGAAAGACCCCGUGAACCUUUACUAUAGCUUGACACUGAACAUUGAGCCUUGAUGUGUAGGAUAGGUGGGAGGCUUUGAAGUGUGGACGCCAGUCUGCAUGGAGCCGACCUUGAAAUACCACCCUUUAAUGUUUGAUGUUCUAACGUUGGCCCCUAAUCGGGGUUGCGGACAGUGUCUGGUGGGUAGUUUGACUGGGGCGGUCUCCUCCUAAAGAGUAACGGAGGAGCACGAAGGUUGGCUAAUCCUGGUCGGACAUCAGGAGGUUAGUGCAAUGGCAUAAGCCAGCUUGACUGCGAGCGUGACGGCGCGAGCAGGUGCGAAAGCAGGUCAUAGUGAUCCGGUGGUUCUGAAUGGAAGGGCCAUCGCUCAACGGAUAAAAGGUACUCCGGGGAUAACAGGCUGAUACCGCCCAAGAGUUCAUAUCGACGGCGGUGUUUGGCACCUCGAUGUCGGCUCAUCACAUCCUGGGGCUGAAGUAGGUCCCAAGGGUAUGGCUGUUCGCCAUUUAAAGUGGUACGCGAGCUGGGUUUAGAACGUCGUGAGACAGUUCGGUCCCUAUCUGCCGUGGGCGCUGGAGAACUGAGGGGGGCUGCUCCUAGUACGAGAGGACCGGAGUGGACGCAUCACUGGUGUUCGGGUUGUCAUGCCAAUGGCACUGCCCGGUAGCUAAAUGCGGAAGAGAUAAGUGCUGAAAGCAUCUAAGCACGAAACUUGCCCCGAGAUGAGUUCUCCCUGACUCCUUGAGAGUCCUGAAGGAACGUUGAAGACGACGACGUUGAUAGGCCGGGUGUGUAAGCGCAGCGAUGCGUUGAGCUAACCGGUACUAAUGAACCGUGAGGCUUAACCUUACAACGCCGAAG